UGCGGGGCUCGAUCCCAGGACCCUGGGAUCAUGACCUGAGCUGAAGGCGGACGCUUAACGACUGAGCCACCCAGGCGCCCUUCAUCAGCUAUCUCUUGGACUCAAUGUAUAACCUUGAGGUGCUGGGGCUAGGCGAGACCCACAAUUUGAACCUGAGCUCUGGAAUUCUGCUCUCUGUUGCAUGGGCAAGAGAAGCUACUCAGUGGGAUGAGGAAGCAGAAGUGAAUUUCCAGAUGCUUUGUUCUGCCUUCCUCACAGAAUCCACAUUAUACAUUUGCUUACUAAAAACAUCUGGUGCCCAACUGGAGAACCAGCGUCCCGCUCGGAUUAACCAAUAGCCAAAAAUGAAAAUUUGUUACAGUUGCUGAUACAUGUGCCUCUGGAAACCUAUAAUAAUUUUGUAACAUAAACCCACAGAAUCAAGCAGAGUUGUACACACUGGAAAACAAACAGAAGGUUUUCAAGUGACCUAGACUUGAAAAAUUUCAAUGUGGUGAAAGAAAGCAAGGUAGGGUAAGGUGGCAGGACUGUUUCAGGUAAAAAGAGG